GGUUGAAUGUAACAAUCAUACCCUGCAUACACACAGGUGAGUGGUUGAAUGAAACAGUCAUAUCCUGCAUAAACACAGGUGAGUGGUUGAAUAACAGUCAUACCCUGCAUACCCACAGGUGAGUGGUUGAAUGUAACAAUCAUCCCCUGCAUACACACAGGUGAGUGGUUGAAUGAAACAGUCAUAUCCUGCAUAAACACAGGUGAGUAUGUGAAUAACAGUCAUACCCUGCAUACCCACAUGUGAGUGGUUGAAUGCAGCAAUCAUACCCUGCAUACCCACAGGUGAGUGGUUGAAUGUAAGCAAUCAUACCCUGCAUACACACAGGUGAGUGGUUGAAUGCAGCAAUCAUACCCUGCAUACACACAGGUGAGUGGUUGAAUGUAACAGUCAUACACUGCAUACACACAAGUGAGUGGUUGAAUGCAGCAAUCAUACCCUGCAUACACACAGGUGAGUGGUUGAAUGUAACAAUCAUACCCUGCAUACACACAAGUGAGUGGUUGAAUGCAACAAUCAUACCCUGCAUACACACAAGUGAGU